ACGCUGGCGGCAGGCCUAACACAUGCAAGUCGAGCGGUAGAGAGAAGCUUGCUUCUCUUGAGAGCGGCGGACGGGUGAGUAAUGCCUAGGAAUCUGCCUGGUAGUGGGGGAUAACGCUCGGAAACGGACGCUAAUACCGCAUACGUCCUACGGGAGAAAGCGGGGGACCUUCGGGCCUUGCGCUAUCAGAUGAGCCUAGGUCGGAUUAGCUAGUUGGUGAGGUAAUGGCUCACCAAGGCGACGAUCCGUAACUGGUCUGAGAGGAUGAUCAGUCACACUGGAACUGAGACACGGUCCAGACUCCUACGGGAGGCAGCAGUGGGGAAUAUUGGACAAUGGGCGAAAGCCUGAUCCAGCCAUGCCGCGUGUGUGAAGAAGGUCUUCGGAUUGUAAAGCACUUUAAGUUGGGAGGAAGGGCAGUAAAUUAAUACUUUGCUGUUUUGACGUUACCGACAGAAUAAGCACCGGCUAACUCUGUGCCAGCAGCCGCGGUAAUACAGAGGGUGCAAGCGUUAAUCGGAAUUACUGGGCGUAAAGCGCGCGUAGGUGGUUCGUUAAGUUGGAUGUGAAAUCCCCGGGCUCAACCUGGGAACUGCAUUCAAAACUGUCGAGCUAGAGUAUGGUAGAGGGUGGUGGAAUUUCCUGUGUAGCGGUGAAAUGCGUAGAUAUAGGAAGGAACACCAGUGGCGAAGGCGACCACCUGGACUGAUACUGACACUGAGGUGCGAAAGCGUGGGGAGCAAAC
rnacentral:rRNA from 1 species